rnacentral:misc_RNA from 1 species
GAUGAAGAACGUAGCGAAAUGUGAUACGUAAUGUGAAUUGCAGAAUUCAGUGAAUCAUCGAAUCUUUGAACGCAUAUUGCGCUCUCUGGUAUUCCGGAGAGCAUGCUUGUUUGAGUAUCAGUAAACACCUCAACUUCCAUAUCUUUUUUGAAAUGGGAGUUGGACUUGAGUGAUCCCAACGCUUUUCCUCACCGAAAAGUGGCGGGUUACUUGAAAUGCAGGUGCAGCUGGACUUUUCUCUGAGCUAUAAGCAUAUCUAUUUAGUCUGCCUAAAAAACAGAUUAUUACCUUUGCUGCAGCUAACAUAAAGGAGAUUAGUUCUUGUGCUGACUGAUGCAGGAUUCACAAAGACAGGCUUCGGCCGACUUUGUAAACUCGAUCUCAAAUCAAGUAAGACUACCCGCUGAACUUAAGCAUAUCAAUAAGCGGAGGA